rnacentral:rRNA from 1 species
AUUGAACGCUGGCGGCAGGCCUAACACAUGCAAGUCGAACGGUAACAGGAAGAAGCUUGCUUCUUUGCUGACGAGUGGCGGACGGGUGAGUAAUGUCUGGGAAACUGCCUGAUGGAGGGGGAUAACUACUGGAAACGGUAGCUAAUACCGCAUAACGUCGCAAGACCAAAGAGGGGGACCUUCGGGCCUUUUGCCAUCGGAUGUGCCCAGAUGGGAUUAGCUAGUAGGUGGGGUAACGGCUCACCUAGGCGACGAUCCCUAGCUGGUCUGAGAGGAUGACCAGCCACACUGGAACUGAGACACGUUCCAGACUCCUACGGGGGGCAGCAGUGGGGAAUAUUGCACAAUGGGCGCAAGCCUGAUGCAGCCAUGCCGCGUGUAUGAAGAAGGCCUUCGGGUUGUAAAGUACUUUCAGCGGGGAGGAAGGGAGUAAAGUUAAUACCUUUGCUCAUUGACGUUACCCGCAGAAGAAGCACCGGCUAACUCCGU